AAGCGAAAUAGUGAUAUAGAGCAAAACCCUAAAAAACGGUACUCAGUUCGGAUUGAAGGCUGAAAUUCGCCUUCAUGAAGCUGGAAUUGCUAGUAAUGGCAGGUCAGCAUACUGCCGUGAAUACGUUCCCGGGCCUUGUACACACCGCCCGUCACACCAUGAGAGUUGGGAAUACCCGAAGCCUGUGAGCUAACUGUAAGGAGGCAGCAGUCGAAGGUAGAAUCAAUGAUUGGGGUGAAGUCGUAACAAGGUACC
rnacentral:rRNA from 1 species